UCAACCAAAAACGUCACUUUCGAAACUGACACAUCAGUAUUAUGUCAGAAACAGAUCGAAUAACGAACUCGAAUUGGCCUUUAGGUCAGUGGUGGCAAGUGCUCUCCUCAUAGGGCAACUGCGCCUAUUCGUGUAGGCUAUAACUGUGAACGACUUCGUUAGUUCGUCUAUCUAUUCUCUCUAGCGCUUGAAUAAGAGUAACAGGCAAAUAUACGAGUUUUGACAUUCGCGGUAUCCCUUAACGGCUUCGAAGCCCUUUCUCCGUGGUCACUACAUUUGUAUUUUUUGAAUUGAUUGCCAUUUAGGGCACUUGCGUCACCUGACUAGUUUGUUUCGUUCUCAAGGAAAAGGACUUGUGUGAUGGCUCUCACGUUGCUAAUAAUUCCCAUUGGAGGUUCGCUAAUAUUUACACAAGCAUCUGCCACACGAAGGUUUCUUUUCGUUGAAAUCGACACAUUUUUUAAAUAAUUCACAGCUGCCUGUAUGUUUUUGUAAAUAAAAAUAAAACAAG